rnacentral:rRNA from 1 species
UACGUAGGGUGCAAGCGUUGUCCGGAAUUAUUGGGCGUAAAGAGCUCGUAGGCGGUUUGUCGCGUCUGCUGUGAAAACUCGGGGCUUAACCCCGGGCCUGCAGUGGGUACGGGGCAGACUAGAGUGCGGUAGGGGAGACUGGAAUUCCUGGUGUAGCGGUGAAAUGCGCAGAUAUCAGGAGGAACACCGGUGGCGAAGGCGGCUUCCUGGACCGACACUGACGUGAGGCGCGAAAGCUAGGGGAGCAAACGGG